rnacentral:lncRNA from 1 species
CUCUAGCAAAUUAAUCAAACCCAGAGAGGAGGUCAUGAUCUGUAACCUGGAAUAGCAACUGGACUUGCAACUGGCAUCUGAUAUUCAAAGAGGUAAUCUUUGGAAUCUCUAAUCUGUGGCCAGUCAGUCAGAAACACAGGUGAUAACCUGGGCUUGCUAUUGACAUCUAAAGUGUUAGGCAGGGGCAUUCUUGUAGGAAUGAAAUUUAACCUGAUCAAUCUUAUAGAAUAGUAUCAGAAUUGAGUUGGAUUGUAGGACCUCUAGCUGGUGUCAGAGAAUUGCUUCUUGGUGGGGUACCUCCCUCCACCCCCACUGAAACUGGCUUCGGAACACCAAAAAAGAAAACCAUACUGCAUAACAGGAAUGACGUAUACGACCCAACUAGCCUAUACAUACAUACAUACAUUACCCUACUACGAAGUAGAGUUUUGGAAUUUUCUCGUUCUCUUUCACAAAGAUAGAGAGAAAGUUGAGUAAUUGAGACUAAGGAAAUGUUUCUCUUUUGGUUUGGGUUCAUCUUUGCCCAGGUGCUAAUAAUUCUUUUCUGUUUUUUAUUUCAUUGGAAUUUGAUAGCUUCUUGCUUCAUUUGGAUCAUCGGUAUACUUUGCAGAUUAUUCUCAGAAUCUGCUAACACUAUUGUUCAAAGUUCAAAUCUUUACCAUUUAGUUUUGUGGAAGUUUAGUUUUGUGGUUUUCCCAUUAAAUUUUACGUAAUGCUUUUUAACAAGGAAUAGCAUUCUUUCACCUAAUAUUCUUGUUUUUGUUGGCUGUCUCUCUUCAGUAUUUGGAAAGUCUGUAUAUCUUACUUCUUUCAGAAGGAAUAAUAAUGUCUUGUUUAGGGACCAACCUGAUAAUUAAUUUAUUUCCCAACAGGGAAAAAAUGGAUAUCAUAAUAUUUUGCAAGAAAUUAUUUAACCUCUACAGCUCAAAGUAUGCUUGUUUUUGACCAUUUCAUUCCCAGUACUGCCUAACCUCCAAAAACAGUUUGUAAGAUGCAGAGUGCUAUGCAAAUGUUAAUUUAUAGUGUUGUUAAUCUUAUUGAAACUUGAAAGACACAUUAUUUUUUCUUUUGCUUCUUGAAAUUCUUUUUCCUUCCUGCAAAACCAAGAGAGAAAACAAUAUGAUGAAUCCUACACAAACAGAAAGAAAAAUUUCUUAUCUAUUUCCAUUAUUUCCAGAUUUUCCAAAAUGAGUAUCUAUCUUCCAAGGUUUCUUUUCCCUUACAGCUUUAUUGAGAUAUAAUUGAUACACACACAUGCAAACACACACACACAAAGCUGGACAUAUUUUAUACAUUCAAUUUGAUGGGUUUGGAGAUGUAUAUAUACCUGUGAAACAAACCAUUACCACAAUCUUACUUUCCUUGUAUCUACUAAUUCUGUGUCCUUGGAACACAAAGAAAUCUGAGCUAUAAGGUUUCUAAUCUUGUUCUUGCUUUUAGUUUCAGUUUUAGUGAGGCAUUCUAAAUUUUUACAGUCAGGCUAAAAUCUCCAAAAGCUCUGGACAUAAAGUCUAACUCAGUCUCUAUACAUAAAAUUUUCUUUUCCCCUCUAUACCUAGUGAAAUUUACACUCAGGUUAUGCUCUAAUUAGUUUCAUUUUUAAGAGUCUAACAUGAAAUCAUCAAAGUAACAAGUCUCAACUGCAUAACUUGACAUCUCAUUAACACUUGGGUUACAGCAUAUGGUGCUUGGGUUAUUUGAGUUAAUGUGGGUGUCGGUGAGGUGGCAAAGGUGGGGUCUAGUGAGUCAAAUUUUUCUGGCAUUUGACAUGUUACUUUAAGGGAAAUAUUAGUUACAUUUUCUGAGUAUAGUAUAUGCUCAUGAAUGUCAUAGACUCUUUAGGUAUAGCAAUUUAGAUGAGUUACUGGGUAAAUGCUUCUGAUAUUUAAGUUAAAAUGUGCCUGACACCAAUGUGAUAAAGCACAAUACAGUUUGAUGGAGAGUUGCCAUGGUUUGACAUAUUUACUACAAAGGUAACUGCAGCCUAAUCAAUUUCAUUAUCUGAAGAUACAGAUAUAGUGUUUAUAGUCAAAAUUAUUUUCCUUUAGUCUCUGCAAAAAACUCAAGUUAUUUCUUCAUGCUUUAGAUUUGGAUAUUUUGACAAAUUGCCAGCUACAAUUUAAACAAGUUUAUUGGACAAACUGUAUGUUUAUUUAUUUUGAGAUAUAUCUUGCUUUCUAGAAGAAAAGGAGAAUGGGAAGCCUGGUAUAGCUAGUUUUAAAAAUUAGGCUUAUGUUAGAUAAAAAUCUAAAUGUUAAAGUUCUUUUACUUUAUCUAUUCAUAAAUACAUUUCAAUUAGUCUACAUGAUAAGUACUUCACUGAACGCAAAAGCUUGAGGUGACCAGAUGGUAGAACUAUAGGAUUUGGAGCCCAGAGGGACACAGGGGUCAAAUAAUCCAAUAUUUUAGCUUUACAGAGGUGAAGACUCAGCCUCAGAGCUAUGGCUUAUUUCUUAUUUUAUUAUUUUUUUAAAAUUUUUAUUGAAGUAUAAUUAAUUUACAAGGUUGUGAUAAUUUCUGCUGUACAGCAAAGCAACCCAGUCAUAUACAUACACAUAUCCAUUCUUUCUCAGAUUCUUUUCCCACCUAGACAAUCACAGAAUACUGGGUAGAAUUCUCUAUUCUAUACAGCAGGUCCCCAUUGGCCAAUAAUUCCAUAUACAGUGGCUUAUAUUUUUCAAACAGCAGUUUCUUCCUAUACAAAAUAAAACAACUUUAGACAGACAAAUAAAUGAGUCUAUGAUAAGGAGAUGGAGACAACUGAUUUACUUAUGACAUCGCAUUUAACAUUCUAAACAAAUGAAAGUAGAACCCAGGGACGAGUUAUGACACAGAAUGAAUUAAGGCCUGAUGUCACAAGUCAUGCAGAGACAUUGCUGUAGGUAGUGACUGCCAAUGUCAAGAGUAAGUGUCAUUUCCUAAGUAACUAUAAUUGGUUUUCAAACUGAGACCUAGGAUUUCAAGGUGUAUAUUCUGUAUAGUUGUAUAUGCAACACUGUGGAUAAAUGCUCUACUCCACCACCAUGCUUUUCUCAUCUGUUUUGCCUGUUUGAAGCAAUGUAAUCUCUUAAGAUUUUGUAGCUUUGCUUUUUAGCAUCUUUUUCUUUUCUUUUCUUUUCUUUUUGUUUUGAUACAGCAUUGUUUGUGUAAGAAUACACAAUAGAAUUUCCAAGUUGUCCUUUAAAUUCCAGUGAUGCUUAAUUUAACUUGAUCAGAAUGUUGUUCUAUUUACUUACUUAUUUUUUGUAUAGAAAUUACCUUUAUGGAUAGGUUAUGACAAAAGCAGGUAGAAAAAUAGGCAAAUACUACAUGUUCUGAAUUCUUUAAUAUUUAUUCAGAUCAUGUUUGAAAAUAUGGAAGCAAAGAGGAAAAUCUGAGCAUAUAUAACAUUAGAAUAUUGUCUUCACAAGGAUAAUGUAAAAAGUAUGGUAUCUGUUUUUUUUUGUUUUUCUUUUAAUUCCUUUAAAUUUGCAAUAUUUUCCUAGUGUAAACAAUAUCUUUUCAUUGUAAGAAGCCUUUCAAAGUAUAUAACAUAUAAUUGAAUAUAUUUUCUUUAAUUAUAAAUGUGAAGAAUAAAAUGCUAUUUAAUAAUUGGUCUUGAAUAUAAUGAAAAUUUUGGCAUGUAAUAAUUUUUUGGCAUGUAGCUAAAAAGCAAAGCUACAAAAUCAACUUCUUUUUCUUUUUAUGGCAGCACCCACAGCAUAGGGAAGUUCCCAGGCUAGGGGUCGAAUUGGAUUUGAAUUGCCAGCCUACACCACAUCCACAACAAUGCUGGAUCCUUAACCCACUGAGCAAGUCCAGGGAUAAAACCCACAUCCUAACAGACACUGUGUCAUAUUCUUAACCCAUUGAGCUAUUGAGCCACAAUGGGAACUCCUAUUCUUUCAGCUUUUAUAUGUUAGCUGAGAUUUAAGUCUAGUUUAGCAUUAUUUCUUUCAAGACUAAUUUUUAUAUACCAUUUUGAUAUUUACUUUGAAGUGUAAGGACUUGUUAGUAAUUAUAUUCUAAUUAUAAGAUUAAUCAUAUUUAUAAAUACAAAAAGUAUUUGGAUUAUUUUACCAAUAUCAAUUCUUUUACUCUGGUAUUUCUGAAAUUGGUUUCUUUAUAUGGAUUCACCCCUAAGUUAGCUAGAGUAAGUUUUUGAGCAAUAUAAGUGUUACACUCUCUCCCCCACUUGUCUAAAAUAAUGUUUAGUUGCUCUUGAACCUGCAAGAGCAAUUGACUGGACAUGGAAUUCUUGUUUCAUAAUUGUUUCCCCUCAAUCCAUUGUUCUGUAGAAGAAAAUUCUGACUCCAAACUGAUAAAUUUUUUGACCCUCUUUAGAUAAUACUUUCUUUUCUUUGCUAUGGUAAUUAUAAACCUCUUAAAAUACAAGACUUUACAAAAUAAAAGUUUGGGUACCACCUCACACCAGCCAGACUGGCCAUCAUUAACAAGUCAACAAAUAACAAAUCCUGGAGAGGGUGUGGGUAGGAAGGUAAUUUGGUACAACAACUAUGGAAAACAAUAUAGAGGUACCUCAGAAAACUAAAUAUAGAACUACCACAUCACCCAGAAAUCCCACUCCUGGGCAUACAUCCAGACAAAACUUUCGUUGAAAAAGUACAUGCAACCUCAUGUUCAUUGCAGCACUAUUCACAAUAGCCAAGGCAUGGAAACAACCCAAAUGUCCAUCGAUAGAUAAAUGGAUUAAGAAGAUGUGGUACACAUACACAAUGGAAUACUAAAGAACAAAAUAAUACCAUUUGCAGCAACAUGGCUGCAACUAGAGACUCUUAUACUAAGUGAAGUAAGUCAGAAAGAGAAAGACAAAUACUUGUAUCUGGAAUCUAGUAUAUGGCACAAAUGAACCUAUCUAUUGAAAAGAAGCAAACUCCUGGACUCGGAAAACAGACUUAUGGUUGCCAAGGGGGAGGGGAUGGAGUGGGAUGGAUUGGAAGUCUGGAGUUAACAGAUGCAAACAAUUGCUUUUGGAGUGGAUUAGCAAUGAGAUCCUGCUGUAUAGCACAGGGAAGUAUAACUAGUCACUUGUGAUCGAACAUGAUGGAAAAUAAUGUGACAAAGAGAAUAUAUAUAUAUAUAUAUGACCGGACUGCUGGUGCAGAAAUUGACAGAACAUUGCAAAUCAACUAUAAUAGAAAAAAUAAAAAUCUUUAUUAAACUGAAAAAAAAAAAACAAAAGCAGAGAUUGAAAUUCCUGUUACAGCCUAGCAGGUUAUGAACCCAACUAGUAUCCAUGAGGAUGUGGGUUCAACCCUUGCCUUACUCAGUGGGUUAAGGAUCCAGCAUUGAUUGCCAUGAACUGUGGUGUAGGUCACAGAAGCAGCUAGGAUCUGGUGUUGCGGUGGCUGUGGGUAACCUAGUAAGCUACAUCUCUGAUUCAACCCCUAGCCUGG